CCUACGGGUGGCAGCAGUGAGGAAUAUUGGUCAAUGGUCGGGAGACUGAACCAGCCAAGUCGCGUGAGGGACGACGGUCCUAUGGAUUGUAAACCUCUUUUGUCAGGGAACAAAAAAUGCUACGCGUAGCAUGAUGAGUGUACCUGAAGAAAAAGCAUCGGCUAACUCCGUGCCAGCAGCCGCGGUAAUACGGAGGAUGCGAGCGUUAUCCGGAUUUACUGGGUUUAAAGGGUGGGCAGGCGGGAGUUCAAGUCAGCGGUGAAAACUAGGGGCUCAACCCCCGGCCUGCCGUUGAACCUGUUCUUCUUGAGUGGGGGAGAAGUAUGCGGAAUGCGGGGUGUAGCGGUGAAAUGCAUAGAUAUCGCGCAGAACUCCGAUGGCGAAGGCAGCAUGCCGGCGCGCAACUGACGCUGAGGCACGAAAGCGUGGGUAGCGAACAGGAUUAGAUACCCUUGUAGUC
rnacentral:rRNA from 1 species